rnacentral:lncRNA from 1 species
GUCAAUGUACAGAGUUUGAUUGGAUAAAUCUCUUCAUUUUUAAAGGGGAUCUGCAUAGCUGAGACGUGCCCCCAUCUGCACCAGGCAAGGAACUGAAGCUGUUUUCCUCUACUCUUUACUGUGCUUUGUAAAAAUACUACCCAGAGGUACAGUCCUCAAGAAGAUUUUAUAGUCUGCUUCACUGGAGUGACUGUCAAUUAAACCGGAUUGGCAUUUGGGCUUAUGACAAGCCUUUGAGGUUUUUGUUGACUCAUUCUUCUAGCAGGGGUGUAGGAACUUAUAUUUGCUGUCUUGAAUUUUUGUCCGGUUAUUCUCAAAUACAGAGGGAUGCUAUUUUUCCUAGCCUUGAUUUCUUUCAAAACCAAUAAAAGAUCACUGAAAUCAUCCAAGGGCUGGCACUUGAAUAUAGACUGUGAUGGAUUUCUGCACAUAAUUACUACUGCUGUCUCAGUACAUAAUAUACUAUGGAUAAAGUAUUCCCUGUUGUCCUACCUUACAUUCAUGCAUUGAGCACUGCUUCCUUAAUUGAAA